AUUGAACGCUGGCGGCAUGCCUUACACAUGCAAGUCGAACGGCAGCAUAGGAGCUUGCUCCUGAUGGCGAGUGGCGAACGGGUGAGUAAUAUAUCGGAACGUGCCCUAGAGUGGGGGAUAACUAGUCGAAAGACUAGCUAAUACCGCAUACGAUCUACGGAUGAAAGUGGGGGAUCGCAAGACCUCAUGCUCCUGGAGCGGCCGAUAUCUGAUUAGCUAGUUGGUGGGGUAAAAGCUCACAAAGGCGACGAUGAGUAGCUGGUCUGAGAGGACAGCCAGCCACACGGGGACUGAGACACGGCCCAGACUCCUACGGGAGGCAGCAGUGGGGAAUUUUGGACAAUGGGGGCAACCCUGAUCCAGCAAUGCCGCGUGAGUGAAGAAGGCCUUCGGGUUGUAAAGCUCUUUUGUCAGGGAAGAAACGGUUCUGGAUAAUACCUGGGACUAAUGACGGUACCUGAAGAAUAAGCACCGGCUAACUACGUGCCAGCCGCCGCCGUAA
rnacentral:rRNA from 1 species